rnacentral:rRNA from 1 species
AUUGAACGCUGGCGGCAUGCUUUACACAUGCAAGUCGAACGGCAGCGCGGGCUUCGGCCUGGCGGCGAGUGGCGAACGGGUGAGUAAUACAUCGGAACGUGCCCAGUAGUGGGGGAUAGCUCGGCGAAAGCCGGAUUAAUACGGCAUACGACCUGAGGGUGAAAGCGGGGGAUCUUGGGACCUCGCGCUAUGGGAGCGGCCGAGGGCAGAUUAGCUAGUUGGUGGGGUAAAGGCCUACCAAGGCGACGAUCUGUAGCUGGUCUGAGAGGACGACCAGCCACACUGGGACUGAGACACGGCCCAGACUCCUACGGGAGGCAGCAGUGGGGAAUUUUGGACAAUGGGCGAAAGCCUGAUCCAGCAAUGCCGCGUGUGUGAUGAAGGCCUUCGGGUUGUAAAGCACUUUUGGCGGGAACGAAAAGGACUGUGCCAAUACCACGGUUCGAUGACGGUACCCGCAGAAUAAGCACCGGCUAACUACGUG